rnacentral:rRNA from 1 species
GACGUAGGGCGCGAGCGUUUGUCCGGAUUUAUUGGGCGUAAAGAGCUCGUAGGCGGUCUGUUGCGUCGGCUGUGAAAACCCGGGGCUCAACCCCGGGCCUGCAGCCGAUACGGGCAGACUAGAGUUCGGCAGGGGAGACUGGAAUUCCUGGUGUAGCGGUGAAAUGCGCAGAUAUCAGGAGGAACACCGGUGGCGAAGGCGGGUCUCUGGGCCGAGUACUGACGCUGAGGAGCGAAAGCGUGGGGAGCAACAGG